UGAAUACGAGAUGCUACGGCGUCGAAGCAGUCUAUGUCAUACUUCCAAGAAAAGCUUGCACUGUCAUAAACAAAUAAUGCCUGUACCAUAACCGACACAGGUGGGUAGGUAGUAUACUAAGGGGCGCGAGAUAACUCUCUCUAAGGAACUCGGCAAAAUGACUCCGUAACUUCGGGAGAAGGAGUGCCUUAUUUAUAAGGUUGCAAUAACAAGAUCCAAGCAACUGUUUACCAAAAACACAGGUCUCCGCUAAGUCGUAAGACGAUGUAUGGGGGCUGACGCCUGCCCAGUGCCAGAAGGUUAAAGAAGUUGGUUAGCAUCCGCGAAGCUGAUAACUGAAGCCCUGGUGAACGGCGGCCGUAACUAUAACGGUCCUAAGGUAGCGAAAUUCCUUGUCGGGUAAGUUCCGACCCGCACGAAAGGCGUAAUGAUUUGGAUACUGUCUCGGAGAGGGGCUCGGUGAAAUAGACUUGUCUGUGAAGAUGCGGACUACCUGCACCAGGACAGAAAGACCCUAUGAAGCUUUACUGUAACCUGAAAUUGAAAUUGGACUUUACUUGCGCAGUAUAGGUGGGAGGCGUUGAGAAUAUUCUUGCGGGAUUAUUGGAGCCAUCAGUGAGAUACCACUCUUGUAAUGUUAGAUUUCUAACUUUGUAUCAUUAUCUGGUCAAAGAACAGUUUCAGGCGGGCAGUUUGACUGGGGCGGUCGCCUCCUAAACGGUAACGGAGGCGCACAAAGGUUUCCUCUGAACGGGUAGAAAUCGUAUCUAGAGUGUAAAGGCAUAAGGAAGCUUGACUGUGAGACCUACAAGUCGAGCAGGGACGAAAGUCGGUCUUAGUGAUCUGACGGUGCUGAGUGGAAAGGCCGUCACUCAACGGAUAAAAGUUACUCUAGGAUAACAGGCUGAUCUCCCCCAAGAGUUCACAUCGACGGGGAGGUUUGGCACCUCGAUGUCGGCUCAUCGCAUCCUGGGGCGGUAGUACGUCCCAAGGGUUGGGCUGUUCGCCCAUGAAAGCGGUACGCGAGCUGGGUUCAGAACGUCGUGAGACAGUUCGGUCCAUAUCCGGUGUAGGCGUUAGAAUAUUGAGAGGAGCCUUCUUUAGUACGAGAGGACCGAGAAGGACAUACCUCUGGUGUACCAGUUAUCGUGCCAACGGUAAACGCUGGGUAGCUAUGUGUGGAGUGGAUAACCGCUGAAAGCAUCUAAGUGGGAAGCCCACCUCAAGAUAAGUAUUCUCAC
rnacentral:rRNA from 1 species